rnacentral:rRNA from 1 species
UACGUAGGGUGCGAGCGUUGUCCGGAAUUACUGGGCGUAAAGAGCUCGUAGGCGGUUUGUCGCGUCGUCCGUGAAAACUUGGGGCUCAACCCCAAGCUUGCGGGCGAUACGGGCAGACUUGAGUACUGCAGGGAGGACUGGAAUUCCUGGUGUAGCAGUGAAAUGCGUAGAUAUCGGGAGGAACACCAGUGGCGAAGGCGGUUGCCUGGGGCUUUGCUGACGCUGAUGCGCGAAAGCGUGGGGAGCGAGUCCGG